rnacentral:rRNA from 1 species
UACGUAGGGUGCAAGCGUUAAUCGGAAUUAUUGGGCGUAAAGAGCUCGUAGGCGGUCUGUCGCGUCGGCUGUGAAAACCCGGGGCUCAACCCCGGGCCUGCAGUCGAUACGGGCAGACUAGAGUGCGGUAGGGGAGACUGGAAUUCCUGGUGUAGCGGUGAAAUGCGCAGAUAUCAGGAGGAACACCGGUGGCGAAGGCGGGUCUCUGGGCCGUAACUGACGCUGAGGAGCGAAAGCGUGGGGAGCGAACAGG